ensembl:lncRNA
CACAUGGGUAGAGGCGGCCCUGCCUCUUCCGAGCUAGGGGUGUCUUAACUCCAGUGUGACAUGGGAGACUGUGGGAUGUGCGAUCUGUUUAUCAUUGAGCUUGCUUUGGUUGGGUCAGUGGCUCUGAAAACUUUUUUUGGGGAAAGAGCCUUACUGAAGUCAUCGCUGAGUGGAAGGUGAUCAGUUGUGAUCUGUUUGCAAGCAGCAAAAGGAAGGCCUUCAAUGCAGAAAUCCCAGGAGCAGCUCAGUCUGCUCCACUUAGUCCUCUGCCUUCUGAGCUGGUAUAUGUGUAGCUCAGAUCUGCUUCACAGUCACAGGUUUGGAUGUUGUCAUGGAGCACCAGAGUUCCAUGGAAAUCUUCUGUAAAGAUGGAGGGCCAGUCAAUAGUCUUUGCUGUCUCCUCAUCUCCUUCAUCUAGAGGCUACUCCAGGAAUUUUCUCAAAUGUGUAUAUGUGCACAGGUCUGCUCUAGUGUUGUAACGUGUUUGUGCAGUUUCUUUGAAGGUAUAUGCAUGUACCCAAAUGAUUGCCUGCGCAGACACCACUGAGCUGGCAGAUGUCCGAGUUUGCAUACAUCUCCCUCUCCUCGGCCAUGGCUAGCAGUGCUCAGUGAGAGCUCCCUGACCCGUGUGUCUAUUCACACCGAGCUGCAAAACCCAUGCGCUGGCUGCUGUGGCAUUCUGGCAUGGAAUGUUUGAGUCUCCAUAGCAACACAAUGCUUCCCCAUGAGAUGCCUCAGUGGCUGCAGUGACAGCUCCGUUAGCCAGGUGCAGGAGCUGGAGAGAGGCUGGGCUGAGAGCAGCUGGGGAGGGGUUCGCUUUUUGUGCCCCCUCCUUCUAUAUCCUGGUCCCCCUGAGUUGCCAGGCCCUUCUUCCCCCUGUGGCUGGCAGUGGGAUCAAGAUGCCUUUGAAGUCGAUAGUAGAGCUGCAGAUUCAUGCCAUGAGGUGGGAGCAGGGACCAAGAGAAGGAGCAGGGAGACCAUGGACAAAGUUCAGGGACAGAGGGAGAAGCCGGGAGGAUGCCUGAAAAUUCUGCCUCCGAUACAGAGGCAAAGCAUGGAAUGUAUUGGGCAUAAAUUGCAGGGUUUCAGUAGCAGGGGGCUGCAGGGGUGCCCUGUGUGGGAGAAGGUCAUGAACUGCCCUGUGCCAGUCACAGCUGGUUCCAGCUGGCUCUGAAACCAAUGUCAACAACUCAUCGCGCACCACAACUUCAGCUAGUCAGAGGAGCACGUGGUGCCCUGCUCAAACAUAUUUAAGAAAGAGUGGCAGCUGCUAGGGGUAGGAGAUGCUCUUGGAGACACAUGGCUGUAAAUAUGCUGCUGAGGAGACUGCUAAAGACACAGCUGGAGACGCACUCUUGGAAGGAGGCACCCCAUGCCAAAGGAGGUACACCUCUGAGGGGACUGCGGCCCAUAGGUGACCCAUGCUGGAACAGGGACACUAAGAAACAGAGCAGCAGAAAAAAAAAUUGGCAAGAAGCAAAGAGCAGCAGAAAGAAACCAACAUGCACAUGACCUCCCCCAACCUCCUACGCCACCCAUUGCCUCACCAGAGGAAUUGGGAGGGACUGAGUGUAACCCAGGGGGAAAAUAAACUUAAGUUGAGUCUGGGGAAGGAGGGGGGA